UUUCCUUUCUUUGACAGGAAAUUCUGGUGAUUAAAGAUCAUGGCAACCAUAGAGGAACUGGCCCAUCAAAUUAUUGAACAGCAAAUGGGAGAGAUUACCCAUUCGCAAGGAGCUGUUACACAAACACUAAUGGAUGGGACAGCACAACGAAUACAGAUUGUCCCUGCAGAUUCAGGCCUCUCUUUACCACAGCGCAUACAGAUUGUCACAGAUCAGCAGACGGGCCAGAAGAUUCAGAUUGUUACAGCACUUGAUCAGAGCUCAGCAGGCAAGCAGUUCAUCCUAACAAAUCAUGAUGGCUCUACCCCAAGCAAGGUGAUCCUUGCCAGACAAGAUUCCACUCCAGGAAAAGUUUUCCUAGCAACUCCAGAUGCUGCAGGUGUCAACCAACUGUUUUUUGCAUCCCCUGAUAUAUCUGCACAACACAUCCAGAUCUUAACAGACAACUCUUCCACUGAACAGGCCCUAAAUAAAGUGUUUGAUCUGUGUGUUGUAUGUGGAGACAAGGCAUCAGGGCGUCACUACGGAGCAGUAACUUGUGAGGGAUGCAAAGGAUUCUUUAAAAGGAGCAUACGAAAGAAUUUAGUUUAUUCAUGCCGAGGAACAAAAGACUGUGUCAUUAACAAACACCACCGGAAUCGAUGUCAGUACUGUAGGCUGCAGAGAUGCAUCGCGUUUGGAAUGAAACAAGAUUCUGUUCAAUGUGAGAGGAAACCUAUUGAAGUGUCAAGAGAAAAAUCUUCGAACUGUGCAGCUUCUACAGAAAAGAUCUACAUUCGGAAAGAUCUUCGCAGCCCAUUAGCUGCAACUCCAACUUUUGUAACAGACAAUGAAACAGCAAGAUCAACAGGUCUGCUGGAAUCAGGAAUGUUUGUUAAUAUUCAUCAGUCUGGAAUAAAAAGUGAGCCUACUGUGCUGAUGACUCCAGAUAAGGUUGAAGCAUGUCAGGGAGAUUUAAGCACACUGGCAAAUGUGGUGACAUCGUUAGCAAAUCUAAGUAAAUCCAAAGACAUGUCUCAAAGCAGUACUGAGCUAUCUAUGAUUGAGAGUUUAAGUAACGGAGAUACAUCAUUAUCUGAACUCCAGCAAGAAGAGCAAGCUAGUAGUGACGUUACGAGGGCAUUUGAUACUCUUGCAAAAGCAUUAAAUCCAGGAGAGAGUGCAGCAUGCCAAAACUCUGAAAGUAUUGAAGCCAGCGUACAGCUGAUUGGCGGAGAAACAAGCAUGAAUAUCGUUGAAAUAGAGGGGCCGCUACUCAGUGAUGCACACGUGGCAUUCAGGCUUACCAUGCCUUCUCCUAUGCCUGAAUAUCUGAACGUUCACUAUAUCUGCGAGUCUGCCUCCAGAUUGCUUUUCUUGUCCAUGCACUGGGCACGUUCCAUUCCAUCUUUCCAAGCUUUAGGACAGGAUAACAGCAUAUCAUUAGUAAAAGCCUGCUGGAAUGAACUUUUUACACUUGGUCUUGCACAAUGUUCACAAGUGAUGAACGUGGCAACUAUAUUAACUGCAUUUGUUAAUCACCUUCAUGGCAGUUUACAGCAAGAUAAGCUGCCAACAGACAGAGGAAAACUUGUAAUGGAGCAUAUCUUCAAACUGCAAGAGUUCUGUAACAGUAUGGUUAAGCUUUGCCUGGAUGGCUAUGAAUAUGCUUACUUGAAAGCAAUCGUCCUCUUCAGUCCUGAUCACCCAGGUCUUGAAAACGUAGUACAGAUUGAGAAAUUUCAAGAAAAGGCCUACAUGGAGUUCCAAGACUACGUAACAAAAGCAUAUCCGGAUGAUACUUACAGACUGUCUAGACUUCUUCUCCGAUUGCCAGCUCUUAGACUGAUGAGUGCUGCUAUUACCGAAGAGCUGUUCUUUGCAGGACUAAUUGGAAAUGUUCAGAUUGAUAGCAUCAUCCCAUAUAUUCUGCGAAUGGAGACAGCAGACUACAACUCUCAAAUAAUUGGUCAUGCUGUAUAAAAGUAGAAAUCAAGGAUUCUGUACCAUGGCAGUCAUGGUGAUGUAAAUGCAUACCCUGUCUCCAAGAGAUGGCAAUAAGCCUUCCAAGCACCUUUCACAAGAAGGCUAAAAUUCCUCCUUUCCAGUACACUUGGGAAAUGCAGUGGAGUGUCUUAAAGAAUAUAGGAUCACUUCCUAUUUUUCAGCUGAUCUUCAAGGACUUGUAAAUUAACUUGGUAUCUGAAGAAAAUCAAGAAUUGUCCAUCCUAUUUUUGUAGAUAGGUGAACUUGGAAUAUUUGUUUAUGAAGUCCAGGCUUGUGAAGAAACUGAAGAAGCUUUGACUGAACUAAGGAAUGGGUCUAAACAGUUGGUGUACCUUGCCUGAAUCGUACUCCACAGCUCUAUCUAAGGGUAGGUUCAAACUUUUUUCUGUCUUGUGAUGCACCUCACUGCCAAGUAACACUGAUGCGGGCUCACAGUUCUUUGGACCACUAUCACUACUAACUGCUGGGUCAAGAGAAGAGUAGUCUCUUCUCUUUCUUAGGCUAUGUUAACUCGAGCACAAGAAGCUUGGUCUUACGUUUCACAUCAGACUGUUUCCAUUUAGGUGUUUGAACCAUGUUCCUGCUGCUUUGAUGCCUGUCAUCUCUGUAGGACAGCAGGAGAUCUAAACCUCAAUGGCUGACUUUUUCCACUCCCACACCUUUCACUGUUCUUUUUCCCGGAGAAUCCUUUGGGCUUCCUCUGGGGUUUUUGCCAGAUCACCCAAAUCAGGAAAUUAACCCAUCCAUUUUUUUCUUUCCAAAUCCUUGAUUUCCAGGCCUGAGACUUCCCUUCAAAGGUUGGGUCGUGAGAGAAUAUAGAAAAUAUUGUCUUCUUAUUUGCAUAGGACAGAGACUUUCAGACAUCCUUUGAUCUAGUUAUCUUGACAGGUGAGAAAUCAAACAGGAAAUCGCCAAAAUAGAUAACAGAUUGUAUCAUCUCUGUUUUGAAAACAAUACAAUUAAGUUACCAUCAGUAAUCAGAAUAUAUCCUUAAUAGUUCUCUGACUACAUUUGGGACUUGGUUCAGUAAUAGCUAUUUUUUUCUUAUCUUUGCAAACUGGACAGUUGGAGCUUCAUUCAUCUAGUGAGCUUGAUUUGACAAGUUCAAGAAAUCUUCAACCAAAGAACAAAACAGUCUCCCCUAGCCACUUUUUCUGACGAUAUGCGCCUAGGGAGCGCCUAGUUAUCUCAGAGAUUCCAGUUACUUGUGCGUUGUCCAUAUGUGUGUUAACUGCAUACCCAUCUCCCUUGAUUUGUUGGGAUGUUAUACCCUCUACACUUGUUGUCAAGUGCAAGAAAAGAGAAAGAUGUGGGUAUAUUCCUGCAGUGUUCUGAGGGCCAAAAAAACCCAUUUCUGAUCUUGAAUACCUCUGAUGUUUGGACAUCUGUAGAGCCAAUGUGCUUUUAAGCAACACGUUUCAAAGAGCUCCGGCUACGGGUAAGUAACCUUUUUUUCCAAAAUUUUCUUAAAAUUUCCAUAAUAAUAAACUUUCAUUAUUCAGUUCAGUGCUGGUUUAAGGUGGGAUGCGGGCUGCCCUAUGCUGCCUGGCAAGUAAUCUGUCAUGUCUUCAUGAUGAUCCCAUAGUGCAGGUUGUUGCUUCUACGUUAUUCGCUUUGCUCAUCAAGGUUUUCUAUUAAUCAUUUUGAGUUCUUAAACUAUAAAUUUCAUGCUUUUGAAAAGGAACGAGGCAUAAGGUGGGUUUUCUCAGGAAUGGGAGCGUAAAUUAAUACAGGGAUGAAUAUGCAUGUUUCCGUUUCUGGCUUUUUAAAGGUAACUGCUGCUCAAUUAAAUGACCAUAUUAAAUUACCUUCAGCUCAGGCGCUUAGUGUUUCUAACAGCCAUUUGUUCUAAUGACAUGCUCUCACACUACCACCUCUGUGAUUUACUGUCAUUUUUUUCUUAUGAAUAAAUAUUCUUUGCUACUGAAUGAACGUCUGGCUAAUAUUACUCUUUUUUCAUGCUGUUCAGUGACGUUAAUGAUCUGUUAACAGAAAUGUAAAUAUUGACACUCACUCCACCACGGACGUUAAACCAUUUCAAUAUUUUUGUGACUUUUCCCUUUCACCCUUAAUUUAUUUUUCAGCUUUUUGAUCUUCAACACUCUUGCAGUUUUCACACCCAAUCAGGACUUAACCAAAUUGAUGCAUUUAGUAGCUGAUAAAUAGUAGUCUCCUUACCAAUGAAAGGACAAGUUUAUUUUCAACAGCUUUAAAUUUUUCAAUCUUAAGAGGAAUAAAAGUGAUUUUUAGUAUAAACUGCAUGAAUGGAAAAAUGAGUAAUUUUAUACCUUUUAGAAUCUUAUCAUUAAAGAUGGGAGCAAUGUUAUACAUAAUGAACUGACUAGUUCAAAACAUUUUUCUUAAAACUGUGUGUUGUAAAUUUAUAAUACAUGUGACCAGGUUGCUUGCUUCAUACUGGUAAAGUUCCUUGGAAAAAACAGUUGUAUUUGAAAGUUUUUCGAAAGUACUUUCAUUGCAAUACCAUCAGCAGUCACAAACUUACCCUGCCAAUACAUUUCUUCUGUCUGUGCUCUUCAGCGUCAGUGAAAGUCAGUCAGUCAUUGGUCUGCUCAUUUUGUUUGGCUUCUAGUUUGCUUAGUAGAUCACUUUUAAUGUAAGCAAUGGAAUAUCACUGUAAUUGUCUUGCUGUUGUAUAAAAGUCGCUGUAAAUGUCUUGAAACCUGACUAAAAUUGUAAAUUCUAUUUUGGCUGUAUUUUUUAAAAUAAAUUGUAACUUUCUAUUACAGAAAACAAUUGUAAUAACCUAUUAGUUUGGUAGUGUUUUAUAUGAAAUGACAUAUAGACCGAAAACAGUGUAUAUGAUUACAAAGAGCGUGUGGAUAUUUCACACUUCUAUUACACACUGUAGUAUUGUCGAUUAUAUUGAGACUCUGGGAUUUGUGAUAGUUGCAGUGUUUUGCUGUCUUGUACCCUUUGUUGCUAUUAACCUUUUGGUUUUGUGCAUACUACUUUCUGGCCUAUGAAUUUGCAUAUUUGAAAGUUUAAUAGUUUAUUACCAGCAUUUUUGGCUUUUAAAACACUAUGUAGAAAUGUACUACACUGAACUCUGGUCACAGACCUUCAUAUAAUAUAAUGCAACAAUCUGUCAUUAUUCAAUUCAUUAUGGAUCAGUUUUAAGUUGGAAGUGAGUGUAUGGUUGGACACUUUUUCUUUAGAAAAAAAUACAGGCUUCAUCUGUUUAGGUGUAAUUAUAAUCAUGUCUGUUUUAAACUUUACUAGAUAAAUAAUGAAUUUAUCCAUGAUUAUUACUG